rnacentral:misc_RNA from 1 species
CAACCCUCAAGCACUGCUUGGUGUUGGGGCCCUGCACCUGCAGGCCCUGAAAUACAGUGGCGGAUCGCCCGGAACUCUCUCUGCGUAGUACCUAACACCUCGCUCUGGGACCCGGCGGUGCCUGCCGUAAACCCCCCAAUUUUUCAA